UACGUAGGUGGCAAGCGUUGUCCGGAAUUGUUGGGCGUAAAGCGCGCGCAGGCGGUCCUUUAAGUCUGAUGUGAAAGCCCACGGCUCAACCGUGGAGGGUCAUUGGAAACUGGGGGACUUGAGUGCAGGAGAGAAGAGUGGAAUUCCACGUGUAGCGGUGAAAUGCGUAGAGAUGUGGAGGAACACCAGUGGCGAAGGCGACUCUUUGGCCUGUAACUGACGCUGAGGCGCGAAAGCGUGGGGAGCAAACAGG
rnacentral:rRNA from 1 species